rnacentral:rRNA from 1 species
CUGGGCUCGAAAUGUAGUGGACCGGGGUGGAAACAUCCCUUUCUCGCAAGAGACUGCUAUAUAGGUGCUGCAUGGCUGUCGUCAGCUCGUGUCGUGAGAUGUUGGGUUAAGUCCCGCAACGAGCGCAACCCUUAUUGCCAGUUGCUAACAGGUCAAGCUGAGCACUCUGGCGAAACUGCCCCGGAUAACGGGGAGGAAGGUGGGGAUGACGUCAAGUCCUCAUGGCCUUUAUGUCCAGGGCUACACACGUGCUACAAUGGGUGGUACAAACCGUCGCAAACCCGCGAGGGGGAGCUAAUCGGAAAAAGCCAUCCUCAGUUCGGAUUGGAGUCUGCAACCCGACUCCAUGAAGCUGGAAUCGCUAGUAGUCGCGGAUCAGCAUGCCGCGGUGAAUA